rnacentral:rRNA from 1 species
UUCCGGUUGAUCCUGCCGGACCUGACUGCUAUCGGAUUGAUACUAAGCCAUGCGAGUCUUUGUAGCAAUACAAGGCAGACGGCUCAGUAACGCGUAGUCAAUCUACCCUAUGGACGGGAAUAACCUCGGGAAACUGAGUAUAAUGCCCGAUAGAACAUUAUGCCUGGAAUGGUUUAUGUUCCAAAUGAUUUAUCGCCGUAGGAUGGGACUGCGGCCUAUCAGUUUGUUGGUGAGGUAAUGGCCCACCAAGACUAUUACAGGUACGGGCUCUGAGAGGAGUGGCCCGGAGAUGGGUACUGAGACACGGACCCAGGCCCUAUGGGGCGCAGCAGGCGAGAAAACUUUGCAAUGUGCGAAAGCACGACAAGGUUAAUCCGAGUGGUUUCUGCUAAAGGAACCUUUUGUUAGUUCUAGAACCACUAACGAAUAAGGGGUGGGCAAGUUCUGGUGUCAGCCGCCGCGGUAAAACCAGCACCUCAAGUGGUCAGGAUGAUUAUUGGGCCUAAAGCAUCCGUAGCCGGCUCUGUAAGUUUUCGGUUAAAUCUGUACGCUUAACGUACAGGCUGCCGGGAAUACUGCAGAGCUAGGGAGUGGGAGAAGUAGACGGUACUCGGGAGGAAGUGGUAAAAUGCUUUGAUCUCUCGAUGACCACCUGUGGCGAAGGCGGUCUACUAGAACACGUCCGACGGUGAGGGAUGAAAGCUGGGGGAGCAAACCGGAUUAGAUACCCGGGUAGUCCCAGCUGUAAACUAUGCAAACUCAGUGAUGCAUUGGCUUGUGGCCAAUGCAGUGUUGCAGGGAAGCCGUUAAGUUUGCCGCCUGGGAAGUACGUACGCAAGUAUGAAACUUAAAGGAAUUGGCGGGGGA